GAUGAACGCUGGCGGCGUGCCUAAUACAUGCAAGUCGAGCGAACGGACGAGAAGCUUGCUUCUCUGAUGUUAGCGGCGGACGGGUGAGUGACACGUGGAUAACCUACCUAUAAGACUGGGAUAACUUCGGGAAACCGGAGCUAAUACCGGAUAAUAUUUUGAACCGCAUGGUUCAAAAGUGAAAGACGGUCUUGCUGUCACUUAUAGAUGGAUCCGCGCUGCAUUAGCUAGUUGGUAAGGUAACGGCUUACCAAGGCAACGAUGCAUAGCCGACCUGAGAGGGUGAUCGGCCACACUGGAACUGAGACACGGUCCAGACUCCUACGGGAGGCAGCAGUAGGGAAUCUUCCGCAAUGGGCGAAAGCCUGACGGAGCAACGCCGCGUGAGUGAUGAAGGUCUUCGGAUCGUAAAACUCUGUUAUUAGGGAAGAACAUAUGUGUAAGUAACUGUGCACAUCUUGACGGUACCUAAUCAGAAAGCCACGGCUAACUACGU
rnacentral:rRNA from 1 species